GGGCUAUUAGCUCAGUUGGUAAGAGCUAUCGCCUCAUAAGCGGUCGGUCCUUGGUUCAAGUCCAAGAUAGCCCACCA
rnacentral:tRNA from 1 species